CCUACGGGAGGCUGCAGUGGGGAAUAUUGCACAAUGGGGGAAACCCUGAUGCAGCGACGCCGCGUGAGUGAAGAAGUAUUUCGGUAUGUAAAGCUCUAUCAGCAGGGAAGAAGAAAGACGGUACCUGACUAAGAAGCCACGGCUAACUACGUGCCAGCAGCCGCGGUAAUACGUAGGGGGCAAGCGUUAUCCGGAUUUACUGGGUGUAAAGGGAGCGUAGACGGGUGUGCAAGUCUGAAGUGAAAGCCCAGGGCUCAACCCUGGGACUGCUUUGGAAACUGUGGAGCUAGAGUGCUGGAGAGGUAAGUGGAAUGCGUGGUGUAGCGGUGAAAUGCGUAGAUAUUAGGCGGAACACCAGUGGCGAAGGCAGCUUACUGGACAUUAACUGACGUUGAGGCUCGAAAGCGUGGGGAGCGAACAGGAUUAGAUACCCGAGUAGUC
rnacentral:rRNA from 1 species